UACGUAGGCAGCAAGCGUUGUUCGGAGUUACUGGGCGUAAAGGGUGUGUAGGCGGUUGUUUAAGUUUGGUGUGAAAUCUCCCGGCUCAACUGGGAGGGUGCGCCGAAUACUGAAUGACUAGAGUGCGGGAGAGGAAAAGUGGAAUUCCUGGUGUAGCGGUGAAAUGCGUAGAUAUCAGGAGGAACACCGGUGGUGUAGACGGCUUUCUGGACCGUAACUGACGCUGAGACACGAAAGCGUGGGUAGCAAACAGG
rnacentral:rRNA from 1 species